GACAGGAAUGAGCCCAGAGUUUCAUUCUGUCUUGCUUGAGCGGAGGCAGGGACAGCGGAGGAGCAGAGGAGCAGUGCUCUCCCAGGGAGCACGAAGGGCAGGCGCUGCACCCCUGAACUCACCUAUCAUGUUGCAGGGGAUUCUUCUGACCACCACUUUCCUCCUUUGGCCAGUUCCAGUAAAUACUAUCAAGGAACUCCCUGGAAUAAAGAACUAUGAAGUGGUUUAUCCCAGAAGACUUCAUCCACUACAUAAAAGAGAGGUCAAGGACCCAGACCAACAGGAAAAAUUUGAAACCGAAUUGAAGUAUAAAAUGACUGUUAAUGGGAAAAUUGCAGUACUUUACUUGAAAAAAAACAAUGGUCUCCUUGCUCCUGGUUACACGGAAACACAUUAUAAUUCCACUGGAGAGGAGAUCACCACAAGCCCACAAAUCAUGGAUGACUGCUAUUACCAAGGACACAUCAUUAAUGAAAAGGUUUCAGAUGCUAGCAUCAGCACAUGUAGGGGUCUAAGGGGCUACUUCAGUCAGGGAGAUCAAAAAUACCUCAUUGAACCUUUAAGCCCCACCAAUGAUGAUGGGCAGGAACAUGCACUUUUCAAGUAUGAUCCCCAUGAAAAGAAGACUAACAGCACCUGUGGGAUGGAUAACAUAUUGUGGGCACAUGGAUCUCGGCAGAGUGUGGCCACCAGACUGGUGAAAUCAAAUGACCAGAAGGGUCCAGAACGUAAGAAAUACAUAGAAUAUUAUUUGGUCCUGGAUAAUGGUGAGUUUAAAAAGUACAAUCAAGAUCGAGAGAAAAUAAGAAAGAGGGUGUUUGAAAUGGCCAAUUAUGUCAACAUGCUUUAUAAAAAGCUGAAUACUCAUGUGGCCUUAGUCGGUAUAGAAAUCUGGAAUGAUGAGGAUAAAAUAAAGAUAACCCCAAAUGCAAGCUCCACCCUGGAAAAUUUUUCCAAAUGGAGGGGAAGUGUCCUCCGAAAAAGAAAACCUCAUGAUAUCGCUCAGUUAAUCACAGCAACAAAACUUUCUGGAACAACUGUGGGCCUUGCUUUCAUGUCUACAAUGUGCUCUCCUUAUCAUUCUGUUGGCAUUGUUCAGGACCACAGUAGCAACGUGCUUAGAGUAGCAGGGACCAUGGCCCAUGAAAUGGGCCAUAACUUUGGAAUGUUUCAUGACUCCUAUGUUUGCAAGUGCCCUUCGACAAUAUGUGUGAUGGACAGAGCACUAAGCUUCUACCUACCUACAGACUUCAGUUCCUGCAGCCGUGUCAGCUAUGACAAGUUCUUUGAAGACAAACUAUCAAAUUGCCUUUUCAACGCCCCAUUGCCCACUGAUAUCAUAUCCAUCCCAAUCUGUGGGAACCAGGUGGUAGAAAUGGGAGAGGACUGUGAUUGUGGGACUCCGGAGGAAUGUACCAACAUUUGCUGUGAUGCUAAAAUUUGUAAAAUCAAAGCAAAUUUUCAAUGUGCAAUAGGAGAAUGCUGUGAAAAAUGCCAGUUUAAAAAGGCUGGUGCAGUAUGCAGACCAGCAAAAGAUGAGUGUGACCUGCCGGAAAUGUGUGAUGGCAAAUCUGGUAUUUGCCCUGAUGACAGAUUCCGAGUCAAUGGCUUCCCUUGCCAAAAUGGGAAGGGCUACUGUUUGAUGGGGCUGUGCCCCACGCUGCAGGAGCAGUGCACCGAGCUAUGGGGAUCAGGGACCAAGGUUGCAGAUAGAUCGUGCUACAGCAGGAAUGAAGGUGGAUCAAAGUAUGGAUACUGUCGCAAAGUGGAGGACAGACCUAUCCCCUGCAAAGCAAGUGAUGCCAUGUGUGGGAAGUUGUUCUGUCAAGGUGGGUCAGAUAAUUUGCCCUGGAGAGGACAUAUAGUAACUUUCCUGACAUGUAAAACAUUUAAUCCUGAAGACAGCAGUCAAGAAAUAGGCAUGGUAGCCAAUGGAACGAAGUGUGGAAACAAGAAGGUUUGCAUUAAUGCCGAAUGUGUGGAUAUCGAAAGAGCAUACAAAUCAACCAAUUGCUCCUCCAAGUGCAAAGGACAUGCUGUGUGUGACCACGAGCUCCAGUGUCAGUGUAAAGAAGGAUGGGCCCCUCCUGAUUGUGAUGACUCCUCAGUGGUCUUCCGUAGACUUCUCCAUUGUGGUUGGGGUGCUGUUCCCUGUGGCUGUCAUAUCUGUGGUGGUUGCUGUGGUAAUCUGGCACCAAAGUACCAGAGGAAAGCAGAAGGAAGUCCAGAGGCCACUGUCUACUACUGGCACCAGGCCUCGCAGACAGAAGAGGAACCCACAGACAGGGAAGGCUGUUCAACCCCAAGAGAUGAGUCAGAUGAAGCUCCAUUCACCUGAUCUGCCAGUAGAGGGCAAUGAGCCUCCAGCUUCUUUUCUAAUUACGAAGCCAGAUUUUCCACCACCACCGAUUCCUACAUCUGUGUCAUCUUCUUUCCUUGGAUCCGAUCCAAAAGUCUAAAGCAGCAACAAAGCAAGGAUGGAUGGGGUAAUGAUCAAUUUGGAAAACUGGAUAAUCUGGAUGGAAGAGAAAUAUACUUACUUUCUCAUUAUUUGCUCUUGAUACUUAAGGAUGUUAACAUUUCUUGAUUCAUCUUAUACUUUGAGGAGAUUAAACAGAAAUUUUCAAGAGAGAUAUACUCUUGAGAAUCUUUGUAUGAAUUUGCAAUCUCUAUCCUCCAUACUCUUGAGAAAGAAGAGGAUUCUAAACAAGCAGCUGUGAAUCUGAAAUCUCUAAUUAGGUGACAUUUCUAGACAUCCUCCCUUUUCUUAUUGUAAUGUUGGCUAAUAUUUCCUCAAAUAUUUUGAACAUCUUGAUUUUCUCAUUUAGUAAGAAAUAAUUUACCCUCAAAUUAAAAAAAACAAAAAAUCCCCCAAGAAAUCACAGGAAACUGGGGGCAAUGGAAGAAAAUUGUAUAUUUAUCAUUAGAUGACUAACAACAUCUUGAUGUUUUAACCAUUAACCUGUCAAAUUAGAGCCCUAGGAACAAAAGUAUAUAAACAUUCUCUCUGAUUGAUAAAACAUCUUAUUCCUACAUUAUCUUUUGCAAUCCUUAUUAGCUGUACCAUUUGAAGUUUGCUACAAAUUAAUAAAACUUUAUUAAUCAAAAAAA